CUCACUGACUUAACUUAUUGAUCGUGGACAUUAUUAUACUCUCUAUAUUUGCUAGUUGUUAAAGCUACCUACUAGCUAGCUCAGCAUACUUAGCAUCAAAGGAUUCAACUCUCCUGCAGCUUGUGAGGAUACUGAGGUCUUUGGAGUGUGUAGGCACACACUUAGGACAUUUAUGUCCCCUUAUAUAAACUUUUAAACAAGAUGGAGUGAUGUACUUCCAGGAUUGAGGAAACUAGUAUGAUCCCUCCACCCCCACCCCUCCCCACCUUGGUGAAAACCAGGUCCUCUCAAAGCUGUGUUCCACCGAUCCCUCAGCGUGCUGCAAUUCCAUUUAAUUAUGGUCCGACACCUCCUGUUCAGGAAACGGGUUACGAACCGGAUCCGAACUCCCAGGCUGAGGAAGCAACAGUCUCACCGCUCGCAGAAGAAGACGAACCCCAAUCUCCACCACCACCUGACAGCCAAGGUGACGAUCCUCCUGAUGUGGAGAAGAAACCUCCACCUGUGCAGGAAACCAGUCCCGCAGCACAGGCCCUGAGCAGCCUGCAGAAUGAGACUACAGUGGAAGAGGAUCAUACACAAGAGCACGAAGAUGUCCAGCUGCCAUGA
rnacentral:lncRNA from 1 species